AGCAGUGGCUGCAGUGUAGGGGGGCUGGGGAUCAGGCUCAUUCCAGUAUAGGUCCUUCUCCAGAAUGGGUAAAUCCUGGUGCAUCUCAUCCACAGCCAUAAGGGAGACCUGCAGGGGACAGCAGAAGUGUCAUAUGGGGUAAGCAGCGUUACACAUAGAAUCAGGGGAUGGUUUGUGUUGGAAGGGAGCUUAAAGCCCAUCCAGUUCCAACCCCUGCUACGGGCAGGGACACCUUCCACUGGAGCAGCUUGCUCCAAGCCCCUGUGUCCAACCUGGCCUUGAACACUGCCAGGGAUGGGGCAGCCACAGCUUCUCUGGGCACCCUGUGCCAGCGCCUCAGCACCCUCCCAGGGAAGAGCUUCUGCCUAAGAGCUCAUCUUGGUCUCCCCUCAGGCAGGUUAAAGCCAUUCCCCUUGGCCUGUCCCUACAGACCCUAGUCCAAAGCCUCUCUCCAUGUUUGCUGUAGCUCCUUUAGGCACAGGAGCUGCUCUAAGGUCUCCCCUUCAGGAGUCUUCUCUUCUCCUGCUGAGGGGGAACACUGAGCUGUCCCCCAUAACCCUCAUGUUUGUUGGGAAGCUUUACACUCUCCUGCUCUCCUUGACAUCUCCGUUUGGAAAUCCUAGGCCCCUUCUUAACAUGCAGCCAGCUCAGGAAAGCACAAGGGCACUGCUUCUCCACCCAUUGCAGGCAUGGGAAGUGGAUGGUGAAGGUGUUGCAGAGCUUUGCACUGACAGGGCUUGCUGAAGCCAUAGGUGCACUCCUACUUUGGUGUUCCUCUGCAGGUGAGGGUCAUCAGAGGUCCCUGCCUUCACUUUACCUGUAGAUUCCUGUCAAUGAGCCAGUUGGUUUCAAAGUCAUCAUCAUCCUCUCCAAAAGGGUUGAUGAGCUGCUCAGCCACCUGCAUAUGGAGAGAACAUAGCAAAGGUCACCAUGGUCAUCCCUGCCACUUCCCCCACUGGAAGAAGGCCUGUUGGGCAGAGUCAAGCAUAUACCUUGAACAGAGCAAUGCUGUUCCUCCCAAAAGGGAUGGUUUAAAGCAGGAGGCUGUGUCCGAUUCCAGCUCCAGGUGUAUUUUCUUGGACUUACCUUUAACCAGCCAGCAUAGAAGAAGAACUGCAGAAACGUAAAGACGGGCACAAAGAGAUCUAGUUCAUGGCCAGGAUAUGCUUUUUCUGGAUCCAGGAACUGCCGCCCGAUCAGACAAGCCAGGAAGAAGCUGUAAACAGCCACGGUCACCACCUGGGAAAGAUGCCAGAGGAGCUUGAGUUCCCAGCCUUUCUCUUCAGUUCCACCCCACACAUCUCCAAACAGCAACAAGCUGCUUCUGGAUCUGUAGCUUUUUGAAAGCCUUGGAUUCAGUGAUCAUAGAAUCAGAGUGGUUUGGGUUGGAGGGGACCUUAAAGAGCACCUGCUUAUGACAGGCUUCUCUGCUUUCUGUAGGAAGAUGCAUUUUGACUUUAAAUAUGCUCUUUGCCCUUUAGUCGUUAUGUUGCUAUGUAAUAUGAAAUACACGUAUGUAACAUGAAAUACACUGUAUUUCAUUCCAUGCUGUCCCUGGAAUGACAUCUGUGUAGGCAUCACAGAAAGAAAGCAAGUGACAUCCUGGAUGGAAAGAGCUGAAACGACUGACACAUGGCUGCCUGGUUGUUCUGCUGCCGAGAUACGUCCUUCCUUGUGGCUUUCCGUCUGUAUCCUAGAGACCUCCAGUGUAAUAUCCUUAGGGGCAGGCUUGGCUCACUGUCCUACCUCACCAUUCCUAUUCCUUGCCUGACUCUGGAAGUCCCUGUAGCUCCACAUAAGGUCCCAGGUGAGGAUCCAAGAUAGCUGCCUGUUGCCUGGCACUCACAUUCAGGAUGCCUUGGAGCAGCACGCUGUCCCGGAUCCUCCCCUCAUUCCUUGCCUUCACAGCCAGGUUGGAGAACCACACACACGGGAUCCAAAACUUGUUGUGUGGGGAAUUCAAGCUCUCAAACUUCUUGUGCUCUUCUGGUGUCAUGAGGCCUGGGUGGAAAAGAGUAGAUGGGAGAAGGAUGACUGUAAAGGGCAGAAAGGAACAAACUGGUCUGAAAAGAAAACUUAAAUCUCAGGUGGUCACCUUGGCUGUCCUUAAAAAUAACAGGGAAUACUCAAGCACUCAGCUUUUGGGAGACACAUAGAAGAGGAUGAGUCUUGUUAAAACAUUCAGUUAUAGAAGUGUGAGGGGCAGGCUUUAUCUCAUUUCAUUUCAGAAGUCUACAGCACAUCUGACCAGGUCACAGUCAGCAGGGAGAUAAAGUACUGCUGAGGGUGCAAUUGCUUGGUGUACAUAGAUGUUUGCUGAGAAUGGGGUAACUUGUGUCCUAAAAGUGCCUGUUUCUCUCUCUGGAUUGCAAAGGGAAACCAGUUGAGUAGGGUUCUAAUUGACAUAUCCCUCUGGGGAGGGAAAUGUCAUAUCUUGAGAAGCAUCUUCAGAGAGGAUUCAGGGAGCCCAGCACUUGAGGUCAGAGGCUCCAAUUCCCACCUGCCCAGUGGAAAACUGUUGCCCUGAGGGAGGAUGAACAUUCCACUUGGAAACCAAGUUCAUGAUCCGGUCAGGCCAUGGUAUGCUCUCAUACUGAGCCCACCAGCGGGACACCACCAGAGCCACGUAGAAACCUAGAGGAUCAGCCUAAAAGGAAGAAACAGAAGCAUCAGCCUCAAAGAAGAGUCUGUGCCUUGUUGGGCCUGCUGAGGUAUAGGAGUCUGGCAAAGGAAGCCAAGGAUGUGUACUCAGAACACUCCCAUGCCAUGAGAAUGAGUGAACACCACUCAUGAGCCCACCUCCCAGAAUACCCUGCUGACCAGUCCAAAGGAGCCCAAAUGGUCACUGACAGAGAGUAACCAUCAAAUGCACCUCUUAAUCUCAGAGAAGAGAAACUGUGUUACUUCCCAGGACAGAAAAAGGAGAUUUAUUAUCUGCUAAGCAGCAUAGGAGCCAUAAGGAAGGACCUUUCCUCCUGUGCACAGAGGCUGGUGAGUGGCUGGCCAGCUCUUCUUCAGCAGCAUCAUUAUCCCAACCCUGCACUGCUCAGUUGUCCUGCUCCAGGACAAGCUGAGAGUGAUGGGUUGUGUUAGUGUUAAUGUACAAGGAUGCUUACCUGUAGACAAG